AUUGAACGCUGGCGGCAUGCCUUACACAUGCAAGUCGAACGGCAGCACGGGGGCGAACCCUGGUGGCGAGUGGCGAACGGGUGAGCAACACAUCGGAACGUGCCCAGUAGUGGGGGAGUAGCUCGGCGAAAGCCGGAUUAAUACCGCAUACGACCUACGGGUGAAAGCGGGGGAGUCGCAAGACCUCGCGCUAUUGGAGCGGCCGAUGUCAGAUUAGGUUGGUUGGNGGGGUUAAAGGCCUACCAAGCCGACGAUCUGUAGCUGGUCUGAGAGGACGACCAGCCACACUGGGACUGAGA
rnacentral:rRNA from 1 species